UCCUACGGGAGGCAGCAGUGGGGAAUAUUGCACAAUGGGCGAAAGCCUGAUGCAGCAACGCCGCGUGAGUGAUGAAGGCCUUCGGGUCGUAAAGCUCUUUGAUCAGGGAUGAUAAUGACAGUACCUGAAAAACAAGCCACGGCUAACUACGUGCCAGCAGCCGCGGUAAUACGUAGGUGGCGAGCGUUGUCCGGAAUUACUGGGCGUAAAGGAUGCGUAGGUGGAUAUUUAAGUGGGAUGUGAAAUCCCCGGGCUCAACCCGGGAACUGCAUUCCAAACUGGGUAUCUAGAGUGCAGGAGAGGAAAGCGGAAUUCCUAGUGUAGCGGUGAAAUGCGUAGAUAUUAGGAGGAACACCAGUGGCGAAGGCGGCUUUCUGGACUGUAACUGACACUGAGGCAUGAAAGCGUGGGUAGCAAACAGGAUUAGAUACCCUGGUAGUCCACGCCGUAAACGAUGGGUACUAGGUGUAGGAGGUAUCGACCCCUUCUGUGCCGUCGUUAACACAAUAAGUACCCCGCCUGGGGAGUACGGUCGCAAGACUAAAACUCAAAGGAAUUGACGGA
rnacentral:rRNA from 1 species